GGUCUUCACUCUUCUCCUCUUUCCGUUUCUUCUUCUUCAAAACCCUAACCCUAAGUAAGCAGCGGCACCUCUCUCUCCCGAGUCCUCAGUCUUCAAUCGAUUCAUCUCUCCCAACCUUAGAUCUUUUGGCGAGAACAUCGGCGUCGCUCCUUCGUCGAUCUCUCUCACUCUCCUCUGGCAGUUGUUUAGCGUCGCUGCUGCUGCUGAGCUUUGAAAGUUUGGAAAAUUUUGCUUAAAUGGAGGUUGCUUUGUGAAGGCUUUUGGAAGAAUGGAUGCAGCAUAUUUUUUUGCAAGGAUAUUAUCUCUAUGUGUAUUUUUGUGAUGGGUUGUAAUCUUUAAUGUCAUAAGUUUAAUUUGGUUGGUGUAUUAUUUUUUGUAAUGGUUUGUAAGAGAUUAUAUUUCCUUUCCUUGGUUGGUUGGUUGAA